GAUGAACGCUGGCGGCGUGCCUAAUACAUGCAAGUCGAGCGAACAGACGAGGAGCUUGCUCCUCUGACGUUAGCGGCGGACGGGUGAGUAACACGUGGAUAACCUACCUAUAAGACUGGGAUAACUUCGGGAAACCGGAGCUAAUACCGGAUAAUAUAUUGAACCGCAUGGUUCAAUAGUGAAAGACGGUUUUGCUGUCACUUAUAGAUGGAUCCGCGCCGCAUUAGCUAGUUGGUAAGGUAACGGCUUACCAAGGCAACGAUGCGUAGCCGACCUGAGAGGGUGAUCGGCAACACUGGAACUGAGACACGGUCCAGACUCCUACGGGAGGCAGCAGUAGGGAAUCUUCCGCAAUGGGCGAAAGCCUGACGGAGCAACGCCGCGUGAGUGAUGAAGGUCUUCGGAUCGUAAAACUCUGUUAUUAGGGAAGAACAAAUGUGUAAGUAACUAUGCACGCCUUGACGGUACCUAAUCAGAAAGCCACGGCUAACUACGUG
rnacentral:rRNA from 1 species